UGAACCAGAGGAAGAAGAAGCUGAGUUCUUCCUUCCUUCUUCUUUUCCCUCAAUCUCAUCUACAUUCAUUUGCAAAGUUCAAAUUGAACUCUUUCUCUUCUUUCUUUACAAACACAACAAUCAGAGACCAAUUUCCUCAACCAAAAAUCAAAAUCAAAAACUCAAUUUCACUCCCUUUAUUUUCCUGUGAUUCGGACCAUCACCCACCACCACCACCACAAACACCAACUGCCACCACCUCAACCACCACUGCCCCCACUGUCUACCUCCGUCCAACACCACUCGACCACCACAAUCACCAAUUCACCACCGCAUACCCACCGUACCCCCCCUUCUCCCUCUUCUCCCCCUCGCGGUCCCCCGCCCCUCCCCUGUUUCCUCCCCCUUCUCUGCCUCGCUGCACCACCACCGUCACGCCCCACCACCUUCAGUCACCUCCACCCUCGCCGCCGAGUCGUCCCCUCCCUUCGCCCAGAACCACCACACCAAGAAUCCCCUGCUUCCUUUUUUUUUUUCGCACGACCUUUUCCUCUCUUGCCUCGCCGUAUCGCCGCGGAAAAUCACCCACCCUAACUGCCGCCUUUACCGGCUCGGGGUUGCGACGCCAAACCACCGAGUCGGCCAGCCGGCCACCUUCCUUCCUCCCUCUUCUCUUCUUCUCCUCUUCGAGCAUCCCCUGCUCGUGCCUCCCUGUUCCAGACCAAACCAAAAAUCAAAGUUUUAUUUUAAAACUUUGAUUCCCUUCCAACCCAUAUUAAAGUUGGGCCAUUCAUCACUUUGGGCCUUUGGAAAUUGGACUCGGAGCUCAGGACGAACGAACCAAGGAAAAUCCUUAGCAAGAUCGCGGAGCUGAGGUACCGCGGGGAACGAUGGAAACGAUUAGUGGCGAGGAAAUUUACUAUAAUAAUGUUCACUUAGUUUAUGCUUAAUGUUGUGAUAGUUUAAUUAAAGAAUUUUAGUAAGUUAUGUACUUUUAUUUUGAGGACUAUUAUAUUAUUUUGGGAGUUCUAAUAGAUUAUGAAUGAUGGUUGCCUUGUAAUUCCCAAGAGGGAGUUACGGCGUGUAA